AGGCCUGCCUUGGAACUGGAUGACCUGCAGGCAGGCAGAGGGGGAGUGGAUUCCCAUGCGUAGGCGGUUGAAUGCGUAGAUAAUUCGGAGGAUCACCCAGUGGGGAAGGGCGGGCUCUUUUGACUGUUUCUGACCGUGAAGGCGGCGAAAGCAGUGGGGAGCAAACAGGAUUAGAUUACCCCCGGUAGUCACGCCGUAACGAUGGGUGUUAGGUGUAGGAGGUAUCGACCCCCUUCUGUGCCGUAGUUAACACCACUAAGCACCCCCGCCUGGGGAGUACGGCCGCAAAGAUUGUAACUCAUACGGAAUUGAUCGGGGGCCCCGCACAAGCAGGUGGAGCAUGUGGUUUAAUUUCGACGCAACGACGAAGAACCCUCCUCAGCGCGUGGACAUCCUCUGACCGCAUAUGAAAGUAUGUUUUCUGGCUUCGGUCAGACAGAGAGACAGGUGGUGCAUGGUUGUCGUCAGCUCGUGUCGUGAGAUGUUGGGUUAAGUCCCGCAACGAGCGCAACCCCUACGUUUAGUUGCUAACGUGUAACGAUGAGCACUCUAGGCGGACUGCCGUUGACAAAACGGAGGAAGGUGGGGAUGACGUCAAAUCAUCAUGCCCCUUAUGUUCUGGGCUACACACGUGCUACAAUGGCCGGUACAAAGGGACGCAAAGCCGCGAGGUGGAGCAAAUCCGAUAAAAGCCGGUCUCAGUUCGGAUUGCAGGCUGCAAUUCGC
rnacentral:rRNA from 1 species